rnacentral:rRNA from 1 species
AACACGUGGAUAAUCUGCCCUAAGGUGGAGGAUAACCUCGGGAAACUGAGAAUAAUACUCCAUAGGUCUAGGAGGCUGGAAUGCACUUAGGCUAAAAACUUUCGUGCCUUAGGAUGAGUCUGCGGACUAUCAGGUUGUAGUCAGGGUAAAGACCUGACUAGCCAAUGACGGGUACGGGUUGUGAGAGCAAUAACCCGGAGAUGAUAUCUGAGACACGAUAUCAGGCCCUACGGGGCGCAGCAGGCGCGAAAACUUCGCACUGCGCGAAAGCGCGACGAGGGAAUCCAAGUGUAUGCACGCAAGUGUAUACUGUUUCUUUGUAUAAAAAGCAAAGAGAGUAAGAGCUGGGUAAGACGGGUGCCAGCCGCCGCGGUAAUACCUGCAGCUCGAGUGGUGAUCGUUAUUAUUGGGCCUAAAACGUCCGUAGCCGGUCUUGUAAAUGCCUAGGUAAAUCGUAUGGCUUAACUAUACGAAUUCUGGGUAGACUGUUAGACUUGAGACCGGGAGAAGCUAGAGGUACUCCUGGGGUAGAGGUGAAAUUCUGUAAUC